rnacentral:rRNA from 1 species
UUUGAACGCUGGCGGCAUGCUUUACACAUGCAAGUCGAACGGUAACAGGUUAAGCUGACGAGUGGCGAACGGGUGAGUAAUGCAUCGGAACGUGCCCGAUCGUGGGGGAUAACGCAGCGAAAGCUGCGCUAAUACCGCAUACGAUCUGAGGAUGAAAGCGGGGGACCGUAAGGCCUCGCGCGAUCGGAGCGGCCGAUGUCAGAUUAGGUAGUUGGUGGGGUAAAGGCCCACCAAGCCGACGAUCUGUAGCUGGUCUGAGAGGACGACCAGCCACACUGGGUCGGAGACACGGCCCAGACUCCUACGGGAGGCAGCAGUGGGGAAUAUUGGACAAUGGGCGAAAGCCUGAUCCAGCAAUGCCGCGUGCAGGAAGAAGGCCUUCGGGUUGUAAACUGCUUUUGUACGGAGCGAAAAGGUCCUUUCUAAUACAAGGGGCUCAUGACGGUACCGUAAGAAUAAGCACCGGCUAACUACGUGCCAGCCGCCGCAGUAACAC